UAACACCCGAAGUCGGUGGGGUAACCUGGGACAAAACUUAACCUCUUAUUAGAAUAUAGGAAGUUAAGUUUUGUCCUAGGAGCCAGCCGCCUAAGGUGGGACAGAUGAUUGGGGUG
rnacentral:rRNA from 1 species